AACGAACGCUGGCGGCAGGCCUAACACAUGCAAGUCGAACGCUCGUAGCAAUACGAGAGUGGCAGACGGGUGAGUAACACGUGGGAACCUUCCCUAUGGUUCGGAAUAGCUCAGGGAAACUUGGGGUAAUACCGGAUAAGCCCUUCGGGGAAGGAUUUAUCGCCAUUGGAUGGGCCCGCGUAGGAUUAGCUAGUUGGUGAGGUAAAGGCUCACCAAGGCGACGAUCCUUAGCUGGUCUGAGAGGAUGAUCAGCCACACUGGGACUGAGACACGGCCCAGACUCCUACGGGAGGCAGCAGUGGGGAAUAUUGGACAAUGGGCGGCAAGCCUGAUCCAGCCAUGCCGCGUGAGUGACGAAGGUCUUCGGAUU
rnacentral:rRNA from 1 species